AGCUGCCUCCAUUUCCUUAAGGAAGGGUUUUUUUCUCUCUCCCUCCACCACACCGUAGCCACGCGCGAGCGGGCCGGGCGGGCGGCCGAGUUUUCCAAGAAAUAACUUCACCAAGAUGUCCACUGAUAGGCAAAGGUCCGAUGAUGAGAGCCCCAACACCAGCGGUGGUAGUUCAGAUGCGGACCAGCGAGACCCAGCCGCUCCAGAGCCUGAAGAACAGGAAGAAAGAAAACCUUCUGCCACCAAGCAGAAGAAAAACACCAAACUCUCCAGCAAAACCCCUGCUAAGUUAUCUACUAGUGCUAAAAGAAUUCAGAAGGAGCUAGCUGAAAUAACUCUUGAUCCUCCUCCUAACUACAGUGCUGGACCUAAAGGAGAUAUAACAUUUAUGAAUGGAGAACGACUCUACUUGGUCCACCAGGUUCUGUAUAUGAAGGUGAUGUGUUUUUUCUGGAUAUCACUUUUUCAUCUAAUCAUCCAUUUAAGCCACCAAAGGUUACUUUCCGCACCAGAAUCUAUCACUGCAACAUCAACAGUCAGGGAGUCAUCUGUCUGGACAUCCUUAAAGACAACUGGAGUCCUGCUUUGACUAUUUCAAAGGUUUUGCUGUCAAUUUGUUCUCUUUUGACAGAUUGCAACCCUGCAGAUCCUCUGGUUGGAAGCAUAGCCAUUCAGUAUUUGACCAACAGAGCAGAACAUGACAGGAUAGCCAGACAGUGGACCAAAAGAUACGCCACAUAAUU